rnacentral:rRNA from 1 species
GACGAACGCUGGCGGCGUGCUUAACACAUGCAAGUCGAACGGAAAGGCCCUGCUUUUGUGGGGUGCUCGAGUGGCGAACGGGUGAGUAACACGUGAGUAACCUGCCCUUGACUUUGGGAUAACUUCAGGAAACUGGGGCUAAUACCGGAUAGGAGCUCCUGCUGCAUGGUGGGGGUUGGAAAGUUUCGGCGGUUGGGGAUGGACUCGCGGCUUAUCAGCUUGUUGGUGGGGUAGUGGCUUACCAAGGCUUUGACGGGUAGCCGGCCCGAGAGGGUGACCGGCGUCCAUGGGCCUGAGAGACGGCGCAGUAGGCUACGGGAGGCAACAGUGGGGAAUAUGGCACAAUGGGCGGAAGUGUAAUGCAGAAACGCCGCGUGCGGGAUGACGUGUUACGGGUUGUAAACAGAUUUGGACUGUGACGAAGCGUGCGUGACGGUAACGGGUAAAGAAGCACCGGCUAACUACGUG